GACAGAGGGUGCAAACGUUGUUCGGAAUCACUGGGCGUAAAGGGUGCGUAGGCGGGUCUUUAAGUCAGGGGUGAAAUCCUGGAGCUCAACUCCAGAACUGCCUUUGAUACUGAGGAUCUUGAGUUCGGGAGAGGUGAGUGGAACUGCGAGUGUAGAGGUGAAAUUCGUAGAUAUUCGGAAGAACACCAGUGGCGAAGGCGACUUACUGGACACAUAUUGACGCUGAGGUGCGAAAGCGUGGGGAGCAAACAGG
rnacentral:rRNA from 1 species